AUACAGAGGUGGGAAGCGUUGUUCGGAAUUAUGGGGCGUAAAGAGCACGUAGGUGGGUUUGUAAGUCAGAUGUGAAAGCCUUCUGUUCAACGGAAGAAUUGCAUCUGAAACUGCGAGUCUUGAGUGUAGGAGGGGAGAAUGGAACUUCUGGUGGAGCGGUGAAAUGCGUAGAUAUCAGAAGGAACGCCGGCGGCGAAAGCGAUUCUCUGGCCUAUUACUGACACUCAGUGUGCGAAAGCUAGGGGAGCAAACGGGAUUAGAUACCCCGGUAGUCC
rnacentral:rRNA from 1 species